CCAAACUUGGUCAUUUAGAGGAAGUAAAAGUCGUAACAAGGUUUCCGUAGGUGAACCUGCGGAAGGAUCAUUAGUGAAUUGAGCUGGCUUCGGCCGCUCUGAUCUAUACACACCUGUGAACUGUUGGCCUUCGGGUCUUUAAAUACAACUGUGACGAACGUAAAUUAUUAUAACAAAUAAAACUUUUAACAACGGAUCUCUUGGCUCUCGCAUCGAUGAAGAACGCAGC
rnacentral:misc_RNA from 1 species